UACGUAGGGUGCAAGCGUUGUCCGGAAUUAUUGGGCGUAAAGAGCUCGUAGGCGGUUUGUUGCGUCGGCUGUGAAAUCCCGAGGCUCAACCUCGGGUCUGCAGUCGAUACGAGCAAACUAGAGUGUUGCAGGGGAGACUGGAAUUCCUGGUGUAGUCGGUGAAAUGCGCAGAUAUCAGGAGGAACACCGGUGGCGAAGGCGGGUCUCUGGGCAACAACUGACGCUGGAGGAGCGAAAGCGUGGGGAGCGAACAGG
rnacentral:rRNA from 1 species